rnacentral:lncRNA from 1 species
CAACAUUCGUAAGAUUGUAUAAUAUACUGUAAGUGUGUUAUUUUAAUCUGAGAUGUCUGAAGAAGUAUUCCGAUUCUGAUGUACUGCUUAUGUAUGGGACAUUGAAGCAGAUGCUCUUCUCCUAUACGCUACUCAAUUUUUCUGACAUAUUUUAGACUCUCAGUUAAUUAUAUUUGAAUUCGAAUAUACGAUACAAAAAGAGUGAAAAAGUAAGGACGAGGAGUAAUGGCUGGGAAAGAAUGUUAACCAUCUAAUUAGGA